UACCUGUACAUUCUGUUCAUCCCCUGUGAAGGUCAGACUGAGUUUUGGUCAUUGUGGAAGGUGGAGACCACCGAAGAAAACCACAGCUGAACAGUGCAGAGAUAAACACAUCAUAGGGAGCUCAGCCCUCACUGACAGAUAUGUCUACCUCACAGCUCCUGCAUCUGUGGUUCAUGACAGAAGAAGGGGCAGAAAGACUGUGAGAACCAGAACACCAGGAAGUCGGCUAUGAAACUGUCUCUCACAGAAAUGGCUACAUAAGUCCUCACAUCAAAAGUGAGAGCACUGUUGUUGUUAUGAAAACCCAGAACCUCUUCUCAAGCAGAGGCCACAUACUCAUCCAAGUGUCACCGAUGACCUCACAGAAAGCAAUAAGAUCGUUCUUACCCUGUGUAGCUGCCUCUUCUGUACCCAACAUGGGUCAUUCCCUUCUCACCGGCUGACAUGGAGAACUGAAUGGGCUGUUUUCAGAUCUGCUUGGAUACGGAGAGACAGAGAAGACGACACCUGCUCAGCUGCCAUGUUGCCCUGCUGGAGAUUGAACUCAAGGCCUCACACACGCUAGCCAAGCCUUCUGCAGCUGAUGCACACCCCCAGCUCAGUCUUCUCUGGAAACAGGAUACAACCUUUUCUAUACCUCAUGGAGAGAGACGUCCACCCCUGCCCAGUGAUCAAGAUUGCAGGUGAGGGGGGCCAUGCUGGGCUCUUCCCUUGACCAGGAUUGGAUUUAAUUUCCACACAAAACUACCACCCUGUAACCAGGACAUUGUUCUUCAACAGAUACAAUGGUAUUUCAAGCCUUGAAUACAAAUACUCAUCAUGUUAAAUCAACCCUUAUUUUACAAUAAGGGUUAUUUCCCCCAAGUCGUUAGGAGGAAUGCGGUGUAGGCAGUAAGCCCAAUGCUAAUUUCCUCUUUAAAUCCAUGUGGGAACAUUAGUGGCAGGAAUGCCCCAUUUAAUCUUCAUCUUCCAGGACCCCAAGCGCUUACAUUCCUAUCUUCAGACUCCAUAGUUCA